rnacentral:rRNA from 2 species
UACAUGCAAGUCGAACGAACUCUGGUAUUGAUUGGUGCUUGCAUCAUGAUUUACAUUUGAGUGAGUGGCGAACUGGUGAGUAACACGUGGGAAACCUGCCCAGAAGCGGGGGAUAACACCUGGAAACAGAUGCUAAUACCGCAUAACAACUUGGACCGCAUGGUCCGAGUUUGAAAGAUGGCUUCGGCUAUCACUUUUGGAUGGUCCCGCGGCGUAUUAGCUAGAUGGUGGGGUAACGGCUCACCAUGGCAAUGAUACGUAGCCGACCUGAGAGGGUAAUCGGCCACAUUGGGACUGAGACACGGCCCAAACUCCUACGGGAGGCAGCAGUAGGGAAUCUUCCACAAUGGACGAAAGUCUGAUGGAGCAACGCCGCGUGAGUGAAGAAGGGUUUCGGCUCGUAAAACUCUGUUGUUAAAGAAGAACAUAUCUGAGAGUAACUGUUCAGGUAUUGACGGUAUUUAACCAGAAAGCCACGGCUAACUACGUGCCAGCAGCCGCGGUAAUACGUAGGUGGCAAGCGUUGUCCGGAUUUAUUGGGCGUAAAGCGAGCGCAGGCGGUUUUUUAAGUCUGAUGUGAAAGCCUUCGGCUCAACCGAAGAAGUGCAUCGGAAACUGGGAAACUUGAGUGCAGAAGAGGACAGUGGAACUCCAUGUGUAGCGGUGAAAUGCGUAGAUAUAUGGAAGAACACCAGUGGCGAAGGCGGCUGUCUGGUCUGUAACUGACGCUGAGGCUCGAAAGUAUGGGUAGCAAACAGGAUUAGAUACCCUGGUAGUCCAUACCGUAAACGAUGAAUGCUAAGUGUUGGAGGGUUUCCGCCCUUCAGUGCUGCAGCUAACGCAUUAAGCAUUCCGCCUGGGGAGUACGGCCGCAAGGCUGAAACUCAAAGGAAUUGACGGGGGCCCGCACAAGCGGUGGAGCAUGUGGUUUAAUUCGAAGCUACGCGAAGAACCUUACCAGGUCUUGACAUACUAUGCAAAUCUAAGAGAUUAGACGUUCCCUUCGGGGACAUGGAUACAGGUGGUGCAUGGUUGUCGUCAGCUCGUGUCGUGAGAUGUUGGGUUAAGUCCCGCAACGAGCGCAACCCUUAUUAUCAGUUGCCAGCAUUAAGUUGGGCACUCUGGUGAGACUGCCGGUGACAAACCGGAGGAAGGUGGGGGAUGACGUCAAAUCAUCAUGCCCCUUAUGACCUGGGCUACACACGUGCUACAAUGGAUGGUACAACGAGUUGCGAACUCGCGAGAGUAAGCUAAUCUCUUAAAGCCAUUCUCAGUUCGGAUUGUAGGCUGCAACUCGCCUACAUGAAGUCGGAAUCGCUAGUAAUCGCGGAUCAGCAUGCCGCGGUGAAUACGUUCCCGGGCCUUGUACACACCGCCCGUCACACCAUGAGAGUUUGUAACACCCAAAGUCGGUGGGGUAACCUUUUAGGAAC